rnacentral:lncRNA from 1 species
AAAAAAGUUUGCUGCAACAACUAGUGCAAGAAAAAGAACUUAACUUUGCAUUGAUCACAUAUGUACAGCCAAUGAAACUCUUUUGGAUACAUGUAAUCCUAAAACCUUGCGGUGAUUCUUGGGCUCUUAUGCAAGAAAAGAUCAUGAGACUCAGAGCAGAUGAGAACUUCAGCAGACAACAGACUCGUUGAUUUGGAAAGCAUGGAGGAAGUGUCGGCAAUGGAAAGAAAAAAUUCAUUGAUGACCGUAUGAAGGAAACCCGUUGUUCGGAGGCGAGGCAGGUGGUGGCCUGGGCCUUGCAUACUCAGCGAAUAUGACCCAAC